UCUUGACCAACAAAGUAAACUCGGAAGUCAAAAUGCGGGCACUUCAUUCGUCAUUGAUAAAGCCACUCCUCCAUCUUCACCUCCGAUUCCCAUUUUCUACUCCCAUUUUUUCGCUCUCUCCACUUCGAACAAAAUAUCUCCACUCCCACUCCUUCACUACUCCUUCACUCCCAAAACUAACUGCCACGGUCGCCAACAAGAUGGCCGCCGUCGACGGAAACUCCACGGCGGACCACAUCGCCGGCGGUUGGUAUUCCGCUCCCGACCUCCGAUUGCGCGAUCAUCGAUUUAACGUUCCUCUCAACUACUCUCUCGAUCACUCUUCCUCCCCUAAAAUCUCCGUAUUCGCUCGGGAAGUCGUUGCUGUUGGUAAGGAGGAACAACCUUUGCCAUAUCUGCUAUAUUUGCAAGGUGGACCGGGCUUUGAAUGCCCAAGGCCAACUGAAGCUGGAGGAUGGAUAAGCAGAGCAUGCGAGGAGUACCGUGUAAUCUUAAUGGAUCAGAGGGGAACAGGUUUAUCAACAUCAUUAACACCAUCCUCUAUGUCACAAGUGAAGUCCGCUGAGGAUUUAGUUAACUACUUGAGACAUUUCCGAGCUGAUAAUAUAGUACAUGAUGCUGAGUUCAUCCGAAAACGUCUUGUCCCUGGUGCUGGACCUUGGACAAUACUUGGACAGAGCUUCGGAGGAUUUUGUGCCGUUACUUACUUGAGUUUUGCUCCCAAAGGACUCAAACACGUUCUUAUAACCGGCGGACUCCCUCCAAUUGGAAAAGGAUGCACAGCUGAUGCUGUUUACAGGGCAGGCUUUGAGCAGCUUGUUCAUCAGAAUGAAAAAUAUUACAAGAGGUUUCCACAGGAUAUUGAAAUUGUUCAUGAUGUCGUAAAUUACCUGGCAGAAUCUGAAGGAGGAGGGGUGCCUCUUCCAUCUGGCGGCAUCUUAACACCUCGAGGACUACAACUUCUUGGUCUCUCGGGUCUAGGAUCUAGUACUGGUUUUGAACGGUUGCAUUACCUGUUUGAGAGAGUCUGGGAUCCUGUAAUAGUUCAAGGAGCAAAAAGGAGAAUCAGUGACUACUUCUUGAAUGCUUAUGAGAGAUGGAUAGCAUUUGACGCAAACCCUUUAUAUGCUCUUUUGCAUGAAAGCAUAUAUUGCCAGGGUGCCUCAUCACUAUGGUCUGCUCAUAGAAUUAGGGCUGAGAAUGAGAACAAAUUCGAUGCAAUUGAGGCAGCAAAAGGCAGCCGCCCCGUACUUUUUACUGGAGAGAUGAUAUUCCCAUGGUUGUUUGAUGAAGUCCAUGCCUUGAGGCCAUUCAAAGAUGCGGCCCAGCUAUUAGCAGAGAAGAAGGAUUGGCCUUCAUUAUAUGAUAUUGCUGCGUUAGAGGAUAACAAGGUACCAGUUGCAGCUGCUGUUUACUAUGAAGACAUGUAUGUUAACUUUAAGCUAUCUAAGGAGACUGCUUCUCAAAUAGCAGGAAUCAGGCUUUGGAUUACUAAUGAGUACAUGCACUCUGGUCUGAGAGAUGCCGGAAGUAAAGUUUUGGAUCAUUUGCUUGCUAUGUUAAAUGGAAAGAAGCCCCUGUUUUAACUCUAUUGGCCACCAUCAACACUUUCUCUACAGUGUCGAAGGCUUUAGAUAAUGCUGAUGAAUUUAUUGAAUACAUUUCUGAGGUUUCUUCAGUUGUUGCAAGACAAGAUGGCGCCAGAAAGGUUCUUCGAGGUUGUUGACUGUAGCCUGCCGGGGCAUUUGUUUCCACUGAUGUAACUGGAACAGAAGCAUGCACAAGUAUCCUAGGCUUUGGCAUUUGAAUUUUAUCCAAUGUUGCAGCGCUCAGGCUGUAUUUACUUUCAUGCCGUAGUUGCUCAAUGUAUUGGCUUUUGCUGUAUGUUUGACUUGA